AACGAACGCUGGCGGCAGGCCUAACACAUGCAAGUCGAGCGGGGGAGCAAUCCCUAGCGGCGGACGGGUUAGUAACGCGUGGGAACGUGCCCAAAGGUACGGAAUAGCCUCGGGAAACUGAGAGUAAUACCGUAUGUGCCCCUCGGGGGAAAGAUUUAUCGCCUUUGGAUCGGCCCGCGUUGGAUUAGGUAGUUGGUGGGGUAAUGGCCCACCAAGCCGACGAUCCAUAGCUGGUUUGAGAGGAUGAUCAGCAACACUGGGACUGAGACACGGCCCAGACUCCUACGGGAGGCAGCAGUGGGGAAUCUUAGACAAUGGGGGAAACCCUGAUCUAGCCAUGCCGCGUGAGCGGUGAAGGCCUUAGGGUUGUAAAGCUCUUUCAGAUGGGAAGAUAAUGACGGUACCAUCCAGAAGAAGCCCCGGCUAACUCCGUG
rnacentral:rRNA from 1 species